AGCAGCGAGCAACACGGCGCCGCCACGCUCCGCCUCGAGAGUGAGCGACUAUGUGAACCUGUUAUGGGUUGCUUCCCCAGCGGUGGCGUCAGUAACACAAAGGAGGAAGAGACGAGACGCAGCCCGGCGCUGGAGCUGUGGCGGCUGGAGCAGCGCGUGCGCACAGCGGAG